GCCUUCGUGGUGUAAUGGUCAGCACGCUCGGCGCGUAUUCGAGAGGUCCGUGGUUCGAGUCCCGACGAGGGCA
rnacentral:tRNA from 1 species